rnacentral:rRNA from 1 species
CCAACAGGGAUUACCUCAGUAACGGCGAGUGAAGCGGUAACAGCUCAAAUUUGAAAUCUGGCCUCACGGUCCGAGUUGUAAUUUGUAGAGGAUGCUUCGAGCAUGGUCUGGCCUAAGUUCCUUGGAGCAGGACGUCAUAGAGGGUGAGAAUCCCGUAUGCGGUCAGGUGCCUACGCUCAUGUGAAGCUCCUUCGACGAGUCGAGUUGUUUGGGAAUGCAGCUCAAAAUGGGUGGUAAAUUUCAUCUAAAGCUAAAUAUUGGCCAGAGACCGAUAGCGCACAAGUAGAGUGAUCGAAAGAUGAAAAGCACUUUGGAAAGAGAGUUAAACAGUACGUGAAAUUGUUGAAAGGGAAGCGCUU